AAAGUCGUAACAAGGUUUCCGUAGGUGAACCUGCGGAAGGAUCAUUACCAAAUAUCCAAUCAAUAUUGGUUUUAAACCAAACUAUACACCUGUGAACUGUUACUGUCUCUGGCAGUGGCUGCUCUACGGUCCAGACUAUAUGUCAAGAUCGAGGAGUUAGUGCUGUCAGAAUAUUUUAACCUGACUUUUUAUUGAGCCUUAUUUAUCAUUUGAUUGACGAAAUUAAAUACAACUUUUGACAACGGAUCUCUUGGUUCUC
rnacentral:misc_RNA from 1 species